GAUGAACGCUAGCGGCAGGCUUAACACAUGCAAGUCGAGGGGCAGCGCGAUGUAGCAAUACAUUGGCGGCGACCGGCGCACGGGUGCGUAACACGUAUGGAACUUACCCUUUACUGGGAGAUAGCCCGGAGAAAUCCGGAUUAAUAUCCCAUAAUAAACGAAGUGGCAUCACUUUGUUUUGAAAGCUCCGGCGGUAAAGGAUGGCCAUGCGCACGAUUAGCUAGUAGGUGAGGUAACGGCUCACCUAGGCUACGAUCGUUAGGGGGCCUGAGAGGGUUAUCCCCCACACUGGUACUGAGACACGGACCAGACUCCUACGGGAGGCAGCAGUGAGGAAUAUUGCGCAAUGGAGGCAACUCUGACGCAGCCAUGCCGCGUGCAGGAAGAAGGCGCUACGCGUUGUAAACUGCUUUUAACCGGGAAGAAACCCUCCGACGUGUCGGAGGUUGACGGCACCGGAGGAAUAAGCACCGGCUAACUUCGUGCCAGCAGCCGCGGUAAAG
rnacentral:rRNA from 1 species